rnacentral:tRNA from 1 species
GCCUGAGUGGCUCAGUUGGUUAAGCAUCUGACUGUGGCUCAGGUCAUGAUCUCCUGGUUCGUGGGUUCAAGCCCCGCAUUGGGUU